UGCCCCGCGCACCCGCACGCGCUUUGCUUAAUUACUUUGCUUCGCACGUUGUUCGGAAACCACGAAGCUUUUUACGAACGCAACGACACAGGAACCAAGACAUUGCAAAGGAGGGACAAAAAACAGGAAAUUCAGUAGGUCACAUCGCUUUUCUGAGGAACAAGCAUGUGUCUGGAGGAAUUUCAUCGCAAGCCACCCAGCAAAGUAAGUUGUGCAGCUGGACCCAAAUGGUGAUGGAGACUCGCUAGGUGCCAUUAUGAUGUCAUCAGUGAUGUGUGUGGAAGCAGAAGCACCGAGGUUUCCCAGGAACCUGCUGCCAAUAGAGAGUGUUGCAAGGAAAGCAUCUGCAUCGUCGGCGCAGUUGGAUCCGCGGGUGGUCUUAAACAGCUGACCGAUCAAUAAGUGCUCCACUGCUGCCUGGGACUGGUGAUAAGUGGAGUCCACGUUGCUGCCACACUUUGUGCGGAUAAUUGAAAAGGUGUUCUCUAGGGCGUCUUGAUUGAGCCUUCGGGUGAGCACAUACUCAACACUUUCAUUACACAGAUCUUGACACAGCUGAAGCACGGAGGUGAUCGUCAAGCAAAACCCCUGGAUACAUGGUGGCUGCCUCUUGAAACCAAGCACAGUGAUUCCCUUGAACUCAGAGAGGCAUUCUUGAAGGAACUCUGUAUGUAUGGACCCCUUUUGCAUGGCUGAGGCAUACUUUGUUUUACCAUGUAAAUGGCUGCUGUUUAGUGCGUCAAAGAGAUGAUCGACACACUCUACAAAGCGGGCUGUGUGAAUGGCCUCCGGUGGCACCUGCUGGAACGUAGCAAGCGUGAAGAGGGAAGCUGCUACAUGAUUGCUGAAGAUGUGUGCUGCCAACUUGACUUUCAUUUUAGAGACAAAUGACAAAUUGAAAUGUCCUUCUGUGAAUCGUGGCAUAGACCGUAUUUCAAGUUUCUUGUCAAUGUCAAAGGCAUCUUUAAUAUGCUGUCCCCUCACUAUGUGAGCCCCAACCUGAAAGUCGUAUUUUAACAGCAUAUUGCGGAGACACUUUAGCAGGUGAGGGGGAUCAAACAUAAAGUACAGCUUCUUGCCACCAAUGCACACAUAUGGCUCAGAUGGAGUCACCAGCUUUGUAAACAGUGACAUAUUUUGACUUCCCUGGUCACAUAUGACAGCUCUUGGCUGGAGGCCUGCCUCCACAAGGCGGUCAUAGCACUCAAAUAGUUUUUCCUGUAAAUCUGCUGCAGAUGUGGCCUGAUAUGCAAAGAAGUACCCCAGGACCUGCUUCCAUGGCGUGCAUAUUCCUCUCGCCAUGAAGACGAGUGCUUUGUUGGCCAGCUCCGUCCGCACAGUGUUCCCACAGGUCCCAAAACCUUCGAAGCAGUCCAGUGCAGGGUUGUACAGCAGCUCCCUCUUAAUGUGCAUCUCAUCAAACAUAAUGGUGCAUAGCUUGUCCAAUUCUGUGAAACUGGAUGCCUUUCGUUUCACUGCAGCGAACACGUCACUGGAAAAGCCGGGGCGUAGUGGGAUUCGUUUCAUCCACAACUGCAGCGACCUGAUGGCAAGUGGAACAGCUUACGACAGAACCUGUAGCCACGAGGACUAUCAAAGUACAGGUUCAGCGCGAAUGUUUUGUUGGGUGCUGACCAGCGUCGUCCACCUCUCCUUCCAUGGUUCAUCGUAAUCUGUGCUUCGAUGAAUGCAGCCACUGUUCCUGAAACGUGCUGCCUCACGCCUUCCAUUAUCUCCUGGACUGCUUUCGAUUGCUGGCGUCUCUUAAGGUCUCUCUGCAGCUUCCUGUUGUGGACCUGAAGUCUGUGCACCUUCUUCCGCAGCUCGUCCAAUUUCGUCCUCCUGCUCUGGGAUGCUAUGCGCUCACUGUCUGGUACCACAUGCUCCUGAACUGGGCACUGCUGAGCUGUGUGUAGGAAGGAUCAGAAAUGAAGGUCAUUCCUUGCAGUUAUCAGAAUAACUAGUCAGGUUCUAUGGCAUACGUACAUGCUGUGGUGACUUCGACUGGUGCUGCAAAGAAAGCUGCAAGACGUCGCUUGCUGUCAGGAGCAUACCAGUCUGUGUUGGCAAGGGUGGUGCGAUUGAAGCAUAGCAGUGGUCGUGGAGACUGGACUCGUGCUGCUCAGCACUCACCGGCGGACAGGGUUGCAGGGCUUCAGUCCCACUUCCUGUUGUGCAAAAGAUGACAGAUCGUUAGCUGCUGCCCUGACUUAGCACUUGAAACCUUCACGACCUGAGUGCAACUGUGAUGUACAUAUCUCUGCUGUGUCGGUGCCUCCUGUACCAGCUGCUUCCACAGCCUCUGCAGUUUCUGUGCUGAGGGUCCUGCUCGGUCCUGCAGAAGGCCAGCAAUGAAUACAUGGAAUAAUCACAGCGGCCACUCAAGCAACACGCUGUCAGAGUAUAAAAGCAGUCACUCACUGUGUUCCCCCUGACCACAGCUUACCAGCUUCUGGAAAAGUACGCCUCAGUGUUGGAAAUGCAUUCCAUCUCAACCUUCCUGUGCGCAAAAAUGCACUUGGAGGGAAGUGCUGUGAACACAGGACGCGAGAGUAGAGUGUAGAGGGGAAGAGUCCUGGAGUUCCACGCCGCAAAAAGCGAGCCAUGCUCUACAUCUGCAAAACAGUGUUUGUGUCAAAUAGAUAGACUAUUGCAUUUUAGAUGUCACAGAACAGAAAGCCUAUGCAACAGGAAGGCAGGAGGAGGCGAAAUAUUGUGCCAUGCUAUUGUCAAGUAUACCAACACCAGGUGCAAACAUGCAAGCGAAAGCAAGCAAGCCCAACAUCAUGCUAGUAGCCCGUGCUGCGCAAUGCUCGCACGCACUGGUCAUAUCCACUUUGGUGUAAGCAGCAAGGCACAUGCUUAAACUUCAACAUGUUUACCAGUUUCCUUAAUGUGGGAGCUCAGGUCCCCAGACAGAUGUUCCCGUAGCUUGAGCACUAGAAAUCAGAUAUUGUAUGCAUAUGCCGUCCUUAUUCAAGUGUGACGAGAGACGCGCCAGUAGACUGGUGUCGACGCACUUACAGUUCAUUCAAUAGCUCACCUGGCAACGUCUAGAGGGAAACGGUGGAAUGAUAUACCGCACACGGUGUCGUCCGCAUUGCACCUCUGGACUUCAAAAAACAAGUCCUGCGCGGGUACCUCGGCAUGACGCAGAGUUCCCCUGGACCUGCUAUAAUAGGGAGCACUUUUGAGGAUAUUUCACACACAAGCUCAAGCGUGUUUAUCUUACCUUGAGGGCUUUGGCAGCGCUUUUAGGAAAAUUAAAAUUCUUUCUCUCAA